rfam:Sporosarcina sp. HYO08 scaffold_5, whole genome shotgun sequence.
UUGACCUUUUAAUGACUGUCCAGAGAGGCAGGGAAAGGUUCGUUUGCCAACUGUUCACUAUAAAAUGUGAACAGUCAUUUGAGGCAAGCAACACGAACCUUUCCGAACAUUCGGGAAGGUUUUUAUCUU